GUAGGUGGCAAGCGCUGUCCGGAAUUAUUGGGCGUAAAGCGCGCGCAGGGCGGUUCUUUAAGUCUGAUGUGAAAGCCCACGGCUCAACCGUGGGGGGUCAUUGGAAACUGGAGAACUUGAGUACAGAAGAGGAAAGCGGAAUUCCACGUGUAGCGGUGAAAUGCGUAGAGAUGUGGGGGAACACCAGUGGCGAAGGCGGCUUUCUGGUCUGUAACUGACGCUGAGGCGCGAAAGCGUGGGGAGCAAACAGGAUUAGAUACCCUGGUAGUCCACGCCGUAAACGAUGAGUGCUAAGUGUUAGGGGGUUUCCGCCCCUUAGUGCUGCAGCUAACGCAUUAAACACUCCGCCUGGGGAGUACGGCCGCAAAGGCUG
rnacentral:rRNA from 1 species